AGUGAACGCUGGCGGUAGGCCUAACACAUGCAAGUCGAACGGCAGCACAGUAAGAGCUUGCCCUUACGGGUGGCGAGUGGCGGACGGGUGAAGAAUACAUCGGAAUCUACUUUUUCGUGGGGGAUAACGUAGGGAAACUUACGCUAAUACCGCAUACGACCUACGGGUGAAAGCAGGGGAUCUUCGGACCUUGCGCGAUUGAAUGAGCCGAUGUCGGAUUAGCUAGUUGGCGGGGUAAAGGCCCACCAAGGCGACGAUCCGUAGCUGGUCUGAGAGGAUGAUCAGCCACACUGGAACUGAGACACGGUCCAGACUCCUACGGGAGGCAGCAGUGGGGAAUAUUGGACAAAGGGCGCAAGCCUGAUCCAGCCAUACCGCGUGGGUGAAGAAGGCCUUCGGGUUGUAAAGCCCUUUUGUUGGGAAAGAAAAGCAGCAGGUUAAUACCCCGCUGUUCUGACGGUACCCAAAGAAUAAGCACCGGCUAACUUCGUG
rnacentral:rRNA from 1 species